UUCUUCCCCAAAUUAAAUCUCAAUCAUUCCAACAAUUUCACAAAGCCGAUCUUCACCAAUUGAGUUAUAAUCUUUUGCUUUCAUUUAAUCUUAGUGGGCAUCGACGAUGAUUUAAUCUGCGUUAUCAAUAUCAGAUUAAUUUUCUAAAGAUGCAAAAUCAAUAUUUAAAAUCAGAGCCUCAUGGACAUGCAGGUUCCUUUGAUCCAGUGGAUUUUUGCGUUUUCUCGAAGGUUCAACAUUUUUUUUUGUUUAUUAGAUCUGCUGCUCGAUGAUGAUUCGUUUUGCUUUAACCACACCGAACAGAUGCCGGUGCAUUUGAUCCUUAUUGGAUUUUGUAUAAAAGUUCUUAUUCCAAUUUAAAUUGGAAUCUGUUUAACUUUUUUUUUAAAUCCGGUUAAAGAUCAAUUCAUUGAGUUUCUCAUGUGGACAAGCCUGGCCUUUGUCUGAGAGCAAAUCUUAAACCAUUUUUUUUUGUUUUCGUUUUUUAAUGAUGAUUUAAACGGCUUUUAGUUUUGGUAGAGUAGAACAAAUCAUUUUCAGUUUUCUUUUUUAAAUAUUUUCCGUCAAAGAUCAUUCAUUGUGUUAUGUAUUUUUAUAAACCCAAUCACAACUUGUUUUUUCUUAAUAUUAUUCAUCUGGUUUUAAGUAUUUUUUUAAUUAUUUAAUCACUUGUUAUAUUUUUACGGUUUUAACCACUUGAGUUAGGGUGCUAAACUUUUUUUAGUUUAGACUAAGUUGUCAGGGGCGUAGCUUUCAAGGGGCCGGGGGACCCUUGAAUUUUUCGCUCGGUUGUGUUAUAUGUAUGUAAUUUUCAUAUGUAAUUGUUUAGGUAUAAACGUUUUCGACCCUCGGUUUUAUAAUUUUUUUUACUUGUAUAGAAUGUUGAGGUUCGUUGACUUUCAACCCCUGAUCGUAAUUUUCAAGCUUCGCCACUACAAGUGGUUAAAACCACUAAGAUAUAUGGACUCCAAAUGUAAUUUACUCUUUUUUUAAUUAAAGUUUUUCUGUUUGCAAACUUUUUGUUACAAGGUUUUGAAUUUUGAUAACCAAAUUUAUUUUUUUUUCUUUUGCUAGUUUUCACUUUUGUAACUAAAUUAUCAGUUUUAUAUUUUAUUGAUAAAUAUUAUUUGUGUUGAGUUUUGAUGCCUGUGAUGAUAACAUUGAAGGCUUGUUUCUCAGAGACAUUCGCAGUGGCCGCCUAAGAUCUUUCGCCUUUCGCCGGGCUUGAGAGAUUGUGCUGUUUUAUCCUUCCUUGGAUGUCUGAGGCAUAUUUGUUGAUUAUUAGUUUUAGUAGUUGUUUGGUUUUUGAUUGAUAAAUGUUGAUGAUGAUAAUCUGAAGGCUUGUUUCUCAGAGACAUUCGCAGUGGCCGCCUAAGAACUUUCGCCUUCGCCUGGCUUGAGAGUUUAUGCUGCUUUGCUCCUUCCUUGGAUGUCUGAAAUUCUAAAUUUUGUUGUUUCAUGUAUGUAUUGUUCUGAUUACGUUAGAUAUGAUUGUUGGUCUAGAUCAAUUGGAUUUUAUUAAAGGUUUAAAGGCAACGAUUGAAAAUAUUCCUGCGUGUCUGUCUGCAAUCACUAAUAACUUAGCUAAUUGUCAAGAUUUCUGCUUUGUGUUCAUAGAACAGUGUUCUCAGUAAUAAUAGCAUCUUUAACAUCCGUUUCACUAUAAGAUUGGGGGAGUGGUGGCGUUGCUUUGGCGUGGGAAGCCAACCAACGCUGGCUAAGCCACUCUGUGCCAGCAUUGGGUUUGGCGUUGCCCAGCAAGCGUCGCUAUGGAGUCUGGCAUGGGGUGGGGUUGGGGUGAGUUGGCUAACCAGGAUUGAGUGAUCAUUUUUUACUGCUAGCCGUAGCCGUUUGGCAUGGUGGUUUAAUGGGGACCUAAGCCACGAUGAUCGAAUAGAGAUCGCGAAGAUCAAUUGGAAAUAUUGCAGACUUGGUCCCAAUGGUUUACUAAUUACGGAGUUGGUUCUAGUGGUUGUAAAGUUUGCACUCAGGUGAUUUUUAUCACUAACCCAUGUUAAUUUUCUUAGUUAAAUGUAUGAGAAAUGAUUAGAUUAUCCCUGAACAAUAAAUAAAAUAAAAAAUAAAGAUGUUCCACACUCUUUUUCUGGUCAAAAACAGAACAUCAUGUAAUUAUAUUAGAUGGGAGGAGUGGUGUAAAUACCCGUUGGACAUGUUGUAAUUUUUUUUGCCCUUUGCCCGUUUGGGUUGGGGGUGUUGUAAUUGUUUGGCUUUUUGCCCGUUUGGA